CGCCGGGCUCAUAACCCGGAGGUCAGAGGUUCAAAUCCUCUCCCCGCCA
rnacentral:tRNA from 1 species